UACGGAGGGUGCAAGCGUUAUCCGGAUUUACUGGGUUUAAAGGGUGCGUAGGUGGGUCUGUAAGUCAGUGGUGAAAUCUCCGGGCUUAACCCGGAAACUGCCAUUGAUACUAUAGGUCUUGAAUUAUCUGGAGGUAAGCGGAAUAUGUCAUGUAGCGGUGAAAUGCUUAGAUAUGACAUAGAACACCAAUUGCGAAGGCAGCUUACUACGGAUACAUUGACACUGAGGCACGAAAGCGCGGGGAUCAAACAGG
rnacentral:rRNA from 1 species